rnacentral:rRNA from 1 species
UACGGAGGGUGCAAGCGUUGCUCGGAAUUAUUGGGCGUAAAGGGUAGGUAGGUGGUCUCAUUUGUCUGGGGUGAAAUCCUUGGGCUUAACUCAAGAAGUGCCCCAGAAACGGUGAGACUAGAGUACUGGAGAGGCGAGUGGAAUUCCCGGUGUAGCGGUGAAAUGCGUAGAGAUCGGGAGGAACACCAGAGGCGAAGGCGGGUUGCUGGGCCGA